AUCUGUAACCCGAGGUAUGACUGUAUUUAGUUCCUGUCACCUGCGGCAGCAUCACCCAUAGAACACAUUGCGGAACCUGGAGCUAUAUGAUAAGGACAAAAUGUCAUUUAUUUCGUACCUUCAUUUCCUAAUCCAUCUUAAAGGGAUUCCAUAUUCAAGCACAAUAAUAUAUCAUGCCGUCAUGCUGCCUGACUUUUUCACUGCACCAGAUUAAAAUGUGAAAUUCUGUGAAGUUCAGUGCAACCAUCCAGAUCCUGAAGUGUCUUUAAUCUCCCUUUGUUUUCUUUUUUCAGCAAGCAGUCUAAACCGUCAUUCCUGUUAGUUAUUAACUUAGGAAGUGAUCUCAUCCACAUGCAACUAAAAUAGUAUUUAAAUAACAUGAAACAUCAUGAAGCAUCAAAAGAAGAAGAUGGAUCAUACACAGAAUCAGCUGAAAGCCAGAUUGAAAAGCACUGUUGACAUGGGCUCAGAGGGUCAUUGGAUAUAGCCAGGGAUUUUUUUCAGCCAGAACUUGUUUAUGAUGGUUGAAAGCUGCUCUGGGUCCUCAUGGUGAAAGGCAGGAUUGACCUUCUCUCAGCACAUUGCCCUGCCACCACAACGAUCUCUCCAGCUUAGAUCAGUAAGAGAAACCCAGAUCUUGUUUCCAGUGGGAAUUGGAUGUCAAGGUAAAGAGUCAGACUUUAAAGUGUUCUAGCAGAAGCUGCAAGCCACACACACACACAAGAGAAAGAAGCCUGCCUGCAAGGUCACUCAAGGAGCAGCUGAGCGAACGGUUCUUUUGUGAGGCUGUGUUGUCCAUAUGAAUGAACUUUGAGCCAUCCUGACAGUAUUUGCAGGAGCUAUUGGGCAUCUUUACAAGCAUGGCUCCUAAGCUUCCAUGAACAAUCACAUUUGUUUUGUACGACUCUCAUUAAAAUUGAGACAAUGGAGAGAUGGAGAAGGACGUUGUGGAUUCACCCUGCCUUUACGUUUCCUGCACUCCUUGUUGCAGUGAGGACAGCCAGCUACACAGCACCAAAAGGGAGGGAAGGCACCAUCAGAAAAAAGAAAAAGAAAUGUAUUUGCAUGAAAUAUGCAAGUGCUGAUUUCAAGAUGCGCCUCUGCCCCAUACAUUGCUCCAUCUGGUCUUCACACUCUCUUCUCCUUCCUGCAACCAGCCACAACAUCUGAACUCGCCUCUAUGGUUUGCCCCAUCCCCAUAGUGGAGGAUGGCGGCCUAGGCAGCAGAAGCUGCUGACUCCUACCUCUUCUCUCCUUCUUUCCCUCCUUCCCUUUCCCCACCCCUGCCCCACAGACAUGGAAAGAGAAGCACAGAUGAAAGGGAAGCGGUGCUUACUCUCGCCUCACACUUCACGGCGCAGCGAGCUGGUGACAUGGCAGCAGCACACCCGGGGCGAGAGCAUGCAUGGCAGGGCAGCCAAAGGGGAACAAUUGACUGAGAGCAACUACAGCCACAAACAAGGACUUCCAUUUCCUCGCUGUCUCUGCCUCAGCCUCCUGCUUUUUGCAGUCCCCCUUUAAGUCACAGUUGCUCUCCCCAACCUCCAUUUACAUUACUGCAAGAUUUGAGAGGGGGAAAGGGUUCUGGCACUGUGUACCAUUUAUUGAGUACCACCAGAAGAAAAGCACUGCAGAGGAUUAGAAGGAUGCUGCCACAUGGUGUUCUUCUUGAAGCAAAUGGAACACAGUCGUAUAUUGUAUGGUCUUAUUUUGUAAGCCAUACUGUACUUUCUCCUACAUACCUCCCUGACAGUAUGCCUCUGCCAGUACUCUCUUGGAUUAACUCUUGCCCCAGAAGGCCUUGAUAUGAUGAUCUGGACUAUCCAUGCCUCUCCCCUAGAUUGGUGGGAAACUCUUUAGACAAUGAAAUGAAAAAAAUAUAAUGAUUGCACUGGGUUUUCUCAGGAGGGAGUGAAAUUUGUGAUUCAGUUUUGAAAGGAUGUUAUUUCCUUUUUCUGUCUUCCUGAAGGAAGUAUAAAUUAUCCCAUUCAUUCAAUAUCAGUAUCUCCAGAUGACAGCUCUCCAAUCAGCGAAUGAGGUUUAUUAACUUGAUUGAAUAAUAGCCGUUGAUUUCUAUAGCACAGGAACUCUCUAUUAGGCCAGCUCACGUUGCAUUGCUAUUUGAGAACUCUUAUUCCCUAGGGCAAAAAGCACCCUCACAUCACAAACCAGAGUUACAGCCUUCUAGGUAAAUAGUGUGCUCUGAUUAAUGUAAACAGUGCUUAUCUAGAAAAUAAAUUGUGAUUUAAGAAUGCUACCCAAUCAAAUCUGCAACCAGAAAUUACUUAUUGUACAGAAUGCAACAAUCUAGCACACACAAGCACACAUACACUCAAAUAUAACUUGCCUCUGCUCAGCAAAUUCUAAAAUGGCAUUUUAUAGCAUUGACUUUUCCUAUAAAAACACACUGUAGGCAUCUGAGGAUUGUGACAAUAAAUCACAGGUUGCAAUGAA